rnacentral:rRNA from 1 species
GACGAACCGAGCGAACGUUGUUCGGAAUCACUGGGCUUAAAGGGCGCGUAGGCGGGUACUCAAGUCCGUGGUGAAAUCCUCCGGCUCAACCGGAGAACUGCCUCGGAUACUGGGUGUCUCGAGGGUGGUAGGGGUCUGCGGAACUAUCGGUGGAGCGGUGAAAUGCGUUGAUAUCGAUAGGAACUCCGGUGGCGAAGGCGGCAGGCUGGACCACUUCUGACGCUGAGGCGCGAAAGCCAGGGGAGCAAACGGG